rnacentral:rRNA from 1 species
CCUACGGGGGGCAGCAGUGGGGAAUAUUGGACAAUGGGGGGAACCCUGAUCCAGCCAUGCCGCGUGUGUGAAGAAGGCCCUCGGGUUGUAAAGCACUUUCAGUGAGGAAGAACGCCUGGUGGUUAAUACCCAUCAGGAAAGACAUCACUCACAGAAGAAGCACCGGCUAACUCCGUGCCAGCAGCCGCGGUAAUACGGAGGGUGCGAGCGUUAAUCGGAAUUACUGGGCGUAAAGCGCGCGUAGGUGGCUUGAUAAGCCGGUUGUGAAAGCCCCGGGCUCAACCUGGGAACGGCAUCCGGAACUGUCAAGCUAGAGUGCAGGAGAGGAAGGUAGAAUUCCCGGUGUAGCGGUGAAAUGCGUAGAGAUCGGGAGGAAUACCAGUGGCGAAGGCGGCCUUCUGGACUGACACUGACACUGAGGUGCGAAAUCGUGGGUAGCAAACAGGAUUAGAUACCCCAGUAGUC